rnacentral:lncRNA from 1 species
GAAAAGCCUUUGAGAGAGGAGAGAACUGAGAGAGAGGGUUAGGUGAGUUCGUGAGUGUAAAAGUGUGCAAUUGUGAAAUGUGAGAAGUAUAUAUACCCAAAUUAGGGUGCAUGCAAAACGACACAUAAAUGAGAAUUUAACAGAUACCACAUAACCCAAGUUCGCACGCUAGAGAGGAGAAUGAUUACAGCUCAUAAAUGAUGUCUAAUCCCAAAAUCAGCACACUGCUCGAGGAGAUAUCAAGAGUUUGUUU